rnacentral:rRNA from 1 species
UUAUGCGAUAACUUGGUGUGAAUUGCAGAAUCCCGUGAACCAUCGAGUUUUUGAACGCAAGUUGCGCCCAAAACCUUCGGGUCGAGGGCACGUCUGCCUGGGUGUCACGC